UACGUAGGGACCAAGCGUUGUCCGGAAUCAUUGGGCGUAAAGCGCGCGUAGGUGGCCAUUUAAGUCCGCUGUGAAAGUCAGAGGCUCAACCUUUGAAAGCCGGUGGAUACGGGCUGGCUAGAGGUAGGUAGGGGCAAGCGGAAUUCCUGGUGUAGCGGUGAAAUGCGCAGAUAUCAGGAGGAACACCGGUGGCGAAGGCGGCUUCCUGGACCGACACUGACGCUGAGGCGCGAAAGCUAGGGGAGCAAACGGG
rnacentral:rRNA from 1 species